GACUCUCGGCAACGGAUAUCUCGGCUCUCGCAUCGAUGAAGAACGUAGCAAAAUGCGAUACCUGGUGUGAAUUGCAGAAUCCCGCGAACCAUCGAGUUUUUGAACGCAAGUUGCGCCCGAGGCCUUCUGGCCGAGGGCACGUCUGCCUGGGCGUCA
rnacentral:rRNA from 1 species